UGCAAGUCGAGCGGACUUUGCCUUCGGGCAAAGUUAGCGGCGGACGGGUGAGUAACACGUGGGUAACCUGCCCAUAUGACCGGGAUAACAUUCUGAAACGAAUGCUAAUACCGGAUACGCGAAUCGGUCGCAUGAUCGAAUGGGGAAAGGCGGAGCAAUCUGCCACUUAUGGAUGGACCCGCGGCGCAUUAGCUAGUUGGUGGGGUAACGGCUCACCAAGGCGACAAUGCGUAGCCGACCUGAGAGGGUGAUCGGCCACACUGGGACUGAGACACGGCCCAAACUCCUACGGGAGGCAGGGGUGGGGAAUCUUCCGCAAUGGACGAAAGUCUGACGGAGCAACGCCGCGUGAGUGAUGAAGGUUUUCGGAUCGUAAAGCUCUGUUGCCAGGGAAGAACGCUUGCGAGAGUAACUGCUCGCAAGGUGACGCUACCUGAGAAGAAAGCCCCGGCUAACUACGUGCCAGCAGCCGCGGUAAUA
rnacentral:rRNA from 1 species